rnacentral:rRNA from 1 species
AUGGCGUGCACCAUGUGUCGCCCCCUUUCGCUCCUUGGCCUCUUCCUCAUCCUGACGCCGCUGCUGUGUGGGUGCACCGGCGGCGGGUUCAGCGUGGAGCUCAUCCACCGGGACUCCCCGAGGUCGCCGUUCCACGACCCGUCGCUCACCCCGCGCGCCCGCGUGCUUGCCGCCGUGCGGCGCUCGUACGCCGGCUCAGGCUCUCCUGGCCCUGACGGCGCGGUGUCGGAGGUGAUCUCAGGCACGUUCCAGUUCUUCAUGUACAUGAGCGCCGCGACGUCGCUCCCCCGGAGGUUCUCCUACUGCCUCACGCCCUACUUAAGCGACGUGUCCUCCGCGCUCAACUUCGGGUCCCGCGCCACCGUGACGGAGCCGGGCGCGGUGACCACUCCGAUGGUGCACUCCCCCGUGCACGUGGAGGCUUUCUACACCGUCGAGAUCGUGGCCCUCAGGAUCGGGAGCUCGAUCAUCAAGCUGCCGAAGCGGUCCCCCGUCAUCGUCGACUCCGGGUCGCUGCUGACGUCCCUCGACAAGGAAUUGCUGGACCCCGUCGUGGAGGCGGUCACCGGGAGCAUCAAGCUCCCGCGCAAGCCGCCGCCGUCGCCGAACCCGGAAAUGUUUUCGGUGUGCUACGAGGCGGACGGCAUGAAGGCGCUGGAGAAGGUAUUCCCGGACGUGACGUUGGAGCUGGGCGGGGGCGCCUUGCUCACGCUCAAGGCGGAGAACUUGUUCAUGGACCUUCUGCUACGGACCGUGUGCUUGGCCGUGGUGCCGGUGACGUAUGAGGGGUCGGUGCCGACGAUCGGCAGCAUCUUGCAGCAGAACAUGCACGUCGGCUACGACCUCGACAAGCGCACCAUCACCUUCGCCCCUGCCGACUGCGCCACCUCCUACCCCUCUCCUCCCGCCUCAUCUGUGUAG